rnacentral:rRNA from 1 species
CCAGACUCCUACGGGAGGCAGCAGUGGGGAAUAUUGCACAAUGGGCGGAAGCCUGAUGCAGCAACGCCGCGUGCGGGAUGACGGCCUUCGGGUUGUAAACCGCUUUCGCCUGUGACGAAGCGUGAGUGACGGUAAUGGGUAAAGAAGCACCGGCUAACUACGUGCCAGCAGCCGCGGUGAUACGUAGGGUGCGAGCGUUGUCCGGAUUUAUUGGGCGUAAAGGGCUCGUAGGUGGUUGAUCGCGUCGGAAGUGUAAUCUUGGGGCUUAACCCUGAGCGUGCUUUCGAUACGGGUUGACUUGAGGAAGGUAGGGGAGAAUGGAAUUCCUGGUGGAGCGGUGGAAUGCGCAGAUAUCAGGAGGAACACCAGUGGCGAAGGCGGUUCUCUGGGCCUUUCCUGACGCUGAGGAGCGAAAGCGUGGGGAGCGAACAGGCUUAGAUACCCUGGUAGUCCACGCUGUAAACGGUGGGUACUAGGUGUGGGGUCCAUUCCACGGGUUCCGUGCCGU